rnacentral:misc_RNA from 1 species
GCCAAGUACAAAGCACCAGAGGCCAAAUUCGAAGCCAAGAUUUCAGUUUCGGUUGGAAAAGCUUCAGAAAGAGAGAGGAAAGAAGCGAUGGCGAAAGAGAGAGAACUACUCGUUUACUCAGCUAGAUUGGCAGAGCAAGCUGAGAGAUACGAAGAGAUGGUUGAGAAAAUGGAGAAAGUUGCAAAGUUAAACGUGGAAUUGACUGUGGAAGAGAGAAAUCUGCUAUCUGUUGGUUAUAAGAAUGUAAUAGGAGCUAGACGAGCUUCCUGGCGUAUUUUAUCUUCAAUUGAACAGAAGGAAACUACCAAACAUAAUGAGAAGAAUGUGGAACGGAUAAUUGAUUACAGGCAUCGGGUUGAAGAUGAGCUCUCUAAAAUAUGCAGUGACAUAUUGUCGAUCAUUGACCAACAUCUCCUUCCAUGUUCCUCAGCUGGAGAAUCUACUGUAUUCUACCAUAAGAUGAAAGGAGACUAUUGUCGGUAUUUGGCUGAGUUUAAAUCUGGUGACGAGCGUAAACAAGUUGCAGAUCAAUCAUUAAAGUCUUAUGAGGCUGCAUCUGCAAUUGCUAACUCUGAUUUGUCUCCAACUCA